AACGAACGCUGGCGGCAUGCCUAACACAUGCAAGUCGAACGAGACCUUCGGGUCUAGUGGCGCACGGGUGCGUAACGCGUGGGAACCUGCCCUUAGGUUCGGAAUACCUCCCCGAAAGGGGUGCUAAUACCGGAUAAUGUCUUCGGACCAAAGAUUCAUCGCCCUUGGAUGGGCCCGCGUUGGAUUAGCUUGUUGGUAGGGUAAAAGCCUACCAAGGCGACGAUCCAUAGCUGGUCUGAGAGGAUGAUCAGCCACACUGGGACGGAGACACGGCCCAGACUCCUACGGGAUGCAGCAGUGGGGGAUAUUGGACAAUGGGCGAAAGCCUGAUCCAGCAAGGCCGCGAGAGUGAUGAAGGCCUGAGAGUUGUAAAGCUCUUUUACCCGGGAUGAUAAUGACAGUACCGGGAGAAUAAGCUCCGGCUAACUCCGUG
rnacentral:rRNA from 1 species